CGGGCUAAACUAUAUCCAUAACACCUGUGAACUGUUGAUUGACUUCGGUCAAUAUUUUUACAAACAUUGUGUAAUGAACGUCAUGUUAUAAUAACAAAUAUAACUUUCAACAACGGAUCUCUUGGCUCUCGCAUCGAUGAAGAACGCAGCGAAAUGCGAUAAGU
rnacentral:misc_RNA from 1 species